AACGAACGCUGGCGGCAUGCCUAACACAUGCAAGUCGAACGAGACCUUCGGGUCUAGUGGCGCACGGGUGCGUAACGCGUGGGAAUCUGCCCUUGGGUUCGGAAUAACAGUUGGAAACGACUGCUAAUACCGGAUGAUGACGUAAGUCCAAAGAUUUAUCGCCCAAGGAUGAGCCCGCGUAGGAUUAGCUAGUUGGUGAGGUAAAGGCUCACCAAGGCGACGAUCCUUAGCUGGUCUGAGAGGAUGAUCAGCCACACUGGGACUGAGACACGGCCCAGACUCCUACGGGAGGCAGCAGUGGGGAAUAUUGGACAAUGGGCGAAAGCCUGAUCCAGCAAUGACGCGUGAGUGAUGAAGGCCUUAGGGUUGUAAAGCUCUUUUACCCGGGAUGAUAAUGACAGUACCGGGAGAAUAAGCACCGGCUAACUCCGUG
rnacentral:rRNA from 1 species